rnacentral:rRNA from 1 species
CCUACGGGUGGCAGCAGUGAGGAAUAUUGGUCAAUGGUCGCGAGACUGAACCAGCCAAGCCGCGUGAGGGAUGACUGUACAGAGUAUCGUAAACCUCUUUUGUCAGGGAACAAAGGCAGGGACGUGUCCCCGGUUGAGUGUACCUGAAGAAAAAGCAUCGGCUAACUCCGUGCCAGCAGCCGCGGUAAUACGGAGGAUGCGAGCGUUAUCCGGAUUUAUUGGGUUUAAAGGGUGCGCAGAGGGUCUGUUAAGUCAGCGGUGAAAGCUCGGGGCUCAACCGCGGGACGGCGGUUGAAACUGGCAGUCUAGAGUAGGAGAGAAGUAGGCGGAAUGCGCGGUGUAGCGGUGAAAUGCAUAGAUAUCGCGCAGAACUCCGAUUGCGAAGGCAGCAUGCUGGCUCCACACUGACGCUGAGGCACGAAAGCGUGGGUAUCGAACAGGAUUAGAUACCCGAGUAGUC